rnacentral:tRNA from 1 species
GGCGGCGUAGCUCAGCGGUUAGAGCAGCGGCUUCAUAAGCCGCGGGUCACUGGUUCAAUUCCAGUCGCCGCUA